CGGUGAUGUCAGUCACUCUCAGAGGAGGGCAGGGGCUGGCAAUGGGCAUGCCCGCCUGCUGCCUGCCUCUGUGGGGAACCUGGGAGUGUAGCACAUUUGGCAAAGAGUGAGAGCGAGAUAGCGGACAGACAGAGUGGGGCUGCCUGCCGCCAUAAUGCUGGAAAGUGUGUCUGUAUGCGCAUGGAUGCAUGCAUGUGCGUGUGAGUUCCUGGUUACCUUUACAAAGCCCAUCUGUGGUGAGCAUUCUACUGUCUCUUCUGCCUGUCUGCCUGUCAUCCUAUGGGGAGAGAGACAGACAGACCGGCCUGAUCUACUUUAGCAUUAUAUAAAAACAACAUGGAUAAAUAA